UACGGAGGGUGCAAGCGUUAUCCGGAUUCACUGGGUUUAAAGGGUGCGUAGGUGGGCUGGUAAGUCAGUGGUGAAAGACGGUAGCUCAACUAUCGCAGUGCCCUUGAUACUGAUGGGCUUGAAUGGACUAGAGGUAGGCGGAAUGAGACAAGUAGCGGUGAAAUGCAUAGAUAUGUCUCAGAACACCGAUUGCGAAGGCAGCUUACUAUGGUCUUAUUGACGCCGAGGCACGAAAGCGUGGGGAUCAAACAGG
rnacentral:rRNA from 1 species